rnacentral:lncRNA from 1 species
UGAAGAACCUUUAACUUAAAAAGCUUUAAAAGGCCGACAAUUGGUUUAUUCUCUAACAAAACACUCAAGAGUCCAUUUAGAGGAAGAGAUUAGAUUUAGAUAUAUAAAUCACUAUAUUAUAGCUUCAAAAAAACUUGGCUACAAGUCUACAGUCAUUGUUUCAUGUUUCUCUAGUUAAUUGACUCUCAGCUGGAAUCUUCAACACCAUAGCAGGUAAUUCCAUGCUAUCCUCCAACUUGGUCGAUUUAGAACCGUCAGUGAUUGGUAAUUCUUGAACUUUACCGUUCUCUGUUGCUAUUGAGUUCUUCUGAUCUUAACUUUUGCC